rnacentral:rRNA from 1 species
GAUGAACGCUGGCGGCGUGCCUAAUACAUGCAAGUCGAGCGAGCAGAUAAGGAGCUUGCUCCUUUGAAGUUAGCGGCGGACGGGUGAGUAACACGUGGGUAACCUACCUAUAAGACUGGGAUAACUUCGGGAAACCGGAGCUAAUACCGGAUAACAUUUAGAACCGCAUGGUUCUAAAGUGAAAGAUGGUUUUGCUAUCACUUAUAGAUGGACCCGCGCCGUAUUAGCUAGUUGGUAAGGUAACGGCUUACCAAGGCGACGAUACGUAGCCGACCUGAGAGGGUGAUCGGCCACACUGGAACUGAGACACGGUCCAGACUCUUACGGGAGGCAGCAGUAGGGAAUCUUCCGCAAUGGGCGAAAGCCUGACGGAGCAACGCCGCGUGAGUGAUGAAGGGUUUCGGCUCGUAAAACUCUGUUAUUAGGGAAGAACAAAUGUGUAAGUAACUGUGCACAUCUUGACGGUACCUAAUCAGAAAGCCACGGCUAACUACGUGCCAGCAGCCGCGGUAAUACGUAGGUGGCAAGCGUUAUCCGGAAUUAUUGGGCGUAAAGCGCGCGUAGGCGGUUUCUUAAGUCUGAUGUGAAAGCCCACGGCUCAACCGUGGAGGGUCAUUGGAAACUGGGAAACUUGAGUGCAGAAGAGGAAAGUGGAAUUCCAUGUGUAGCGGUGAAAUGCGCAGAGAUAUGGAGGAACACCAGUGGCGAAGGCGACUUUCUGGUCUGUACUGACGCUGAUGUGCGAAAGCGUGGGGAUCAAACAGGAUUAGAUACCCUGGUAGUCCACGCCGUAAACGAUGAGUGCUAAGUGUUAGGGGGUUUCCGCCCCUUAGUGCUGCAGCUAACGCAUUAAGCACUCCGCCUGGGGAGUACGACCGCAAGGUUGAAGCUCAAAGGAAUUGACGGGGACCCGCACAAGCGGUGGAGCAUGUGGUUUAAUUCGAAGCAACGCGAAGAACCUUACCAAAUCUUGACAUCCUUUGAAAACUCUAGAGAUAGAGCCUUCCCCUUCGGGGGACAAAGUGACAGGUGGUGCAUGGUUGUCGUCAGCUCGUGUCGUGAGAUGUUGGGUUAAGUCCCGCAACGAGCGCAACCCUUAAGCUUAGUUGCCAUCAUUAAGUUGGGCACUCUAGGUUGACUGCCGGUGACAAACCGGAGGAAGGUGGGGAUGACGUCAAAUCAUCAUGCCCCUUAUGAUUUGGGCUACACACGUGCUACAAUGGGCAAUACAAAGGGCAGCUAAACCGCGAGGUCAUGCAAAUCCCAUAAAGUUGUUCUCAGUUCGGAUUGUAGUCUGCAACUCGACUACAUGAAGCUGGAAUCGCUAGUAAUCGUAGAUCAGCAUGCUACGGUGAAUACGUUCCCGGGUCU